GAUGAACGCUGGCGGCGUGCUUAACACAUGCAAGUCGAACGGAAAGGCUCCUGCUUGCAGGGGUACUCGAGUGGCGAACGGGUGAGUAACACGUGGGUGAUCUGCCCUGCACUUCGGGAUAAGCCUGGGAAACUGGGUCUAAUACCGGAUAGGACCACAUUUUGGAUGGUGUGGUGGAAAGGUUUUCGGUGUGGGAUGAGCUCGCGGCCUAUCAGCUUGUUGGUGGGGUAAUGGCCUACCAAGGCGUCGACGGGUAGCCGGCCUGAGAGGGUGUACGGCCACAUUGGGACUGAGAUACGGCCCAGACUCCUACGGGAGGCAGCAGUGGGGAAUAUUGCACAAUGGGCGCAAGCCUGAUGCAGCGACGCCGCGUGGGGGAUGACGGCCUUCGGGUUGUAAACUCCUUUCGCUAGGGACGAAGCGCAAGUGACGGUACCUGGAGAAGAAGCACCGGCUAACUACGUG
rnacentral:rRNA from 1 species